rnacentral:rRNA from 1 species
AGCGCAGGCGGGAGGACAAGUUGGAAGUGAAAUCCAUGGGCUCAACCCAUGAACUGCUUUCAAAACUGUUUUUCUUGAGUAGUGCAGAGGUAGGCGGAAUUCCCGGUGUAGCGGUGGAAUGCGUAGAUAUCGGGAGGAACAUCGAUGGCGAAGGCGGGUAACUGGACUGCAACUGACGCUGAGGCGCGAAAGUGUGGGGAGCAAACA